CCUACGGGUUGCAGCAGUGGGGAAUAUUACACAAUGGGCGCAAGCCUGAUGCAGCCAUGCCGCGUGUGUGAAGAAGGCCCUCGGGUUGUAAAGCACUUUCGGCGGGGAGGAAGGCGGUGAGGUUAAUAACCUCACCGAUUGACGUUACCCGCAGAAGAAGCACCGGCUAACUCCGUGCCAGCAGCCGCGGUAAUACGGAGGGUGCAAGCGUUAAUCGGAAUUACUGGGCGUAAAGCGCACGCAGGCGGUCUGUCAAGUCGGAUGUGAAAUCCCCGGGCUCAACCCGGGAACUGCAUUCGAAACUGGCAGGCUAGAGUCUUGUAGAGGGGGGUAGAAUUCCAGGUGUAGCGGUGAAAUGCGUAGAGAUCUGGAGGAAUACCGGUGGCAAAGGCGGCCCCCUGGACAAAGACUGACGCUCAGGUGCGAAAGCGUGGGGAGCAAACAGGAUUAGAUACCCCAGUAGUC
rnacentral:rRNA from 1 species